UUUUACAGAGAUCUUUUCAUUUAAAUAUUGAAAAAAGAGAUAGUACAUUUCACGGUAUGCUACUAAUGUGUCUGUAACUGCGCAGUCCCAAAUGUCCGUUGUAGAUGAGAACUGAAAGAGUAGUGCUAGCCUGUCUGCAGGCCACAAUGAAGACCUGAACAGGCUCGCCGGGAUUUCAGAGUAUGCUCCUAAAGUGGAAAUGGGAACCGAGUCAUUCUACUCAUUUUGUUUUCCUAACAUGGAGAAUGACAAGAAAGGAAGCAGGCCUCUCUUUCCUUGCCUCCACAAUUGAGGAGAACUGGCCAGCUACAAUUGACACUUGGGAAAGUGCUACAAAGCACUGAUGAGUAUUAGAGAAAUGUUGAUUAAGACAAGCUUACCUGUCACCAGUCAUUAAAGAAGCUUCUUUUUGCAACAGAUUGAGAUCAUUACAGAGACCUACAAUUACUCAAACAGAGAAUAACUGUCUGGGGGGUGUCCAGCCCUAAGUGACACAUCUGCAAUGGAACUUCUCCUCCUAAGGCUCACAAACAUAGUGGAACAAGAAGUAGAGAGAAUACUUAUGCAUCUCUCAAC